CCUACGGGUGGCAGCAGUGAGGAAUAUUGGUCAAUGGGCGGAAGCCUGAACCAGCCAAGUCGCGUGAGGGAUUAAGGCCCUGCGGGUCGUAAACCUCUUUUGCCGGGGAGCAGAGUUCCGGACGUGUCCGGGCCUGGAUAGUACCCGGAGAAAAAGCAUCGGCUAACUCCGUGCCAGCAGCCGCGGUAAUACGGAGGAUGCGAGCGUUAUCCGGAUUUAUUGGGUUUAAAGGGUGCGUAGGCGGGCAUUUAAGCCGGCGGUCAAAUGUCGGGGCUCAACCCCGGCCUGCCGUCGGAACUGGGUGCCUUGAGUGGGCGAGAGGUAGGCGGAAUGCGUGGUGUAGCGGUGAAAUGCAUAGAUAUCACGCAGAACCCCGAUUGCGAAGGCAGCAUACCGGAGCCCGACUGACGCUGAGGCUCGAAAGUGUGGGUAUCAAACAGGAUUAGAUACCCCAGUAGUC
rnacentral:rRNA from 1 species